rnacentral:rRNA from 1 species
CUAAACUAUACACCGAAAUUUCGGAUUUACGUAUGAAAAUAUGUAAGUGGUAGAGGAGCAUUCUGUAGUAGGACGAAGUCAAAGCGAAAGCAUUGGUGGACGAGGCAGAAGAGAGAAUGCUGGAAUAAGUAGCGAGAGCAAGGUGAGAAUCCUUGCCGUCGAAAGUCUAAGGUUUCCUGGGGAAGGUUCGUCCGCCCAGGGUAAGUCGGGGCCUAAGGAGAGGCCGAAAGGCGUAUCUGAUGGAUAGCAGGUGGAGAUUCCUGCACUAUAGCUAGUUUUAAAAGAUGCAAGGGACGCAGUAGAGGAAGAUAACCAAGGAAGAGGAAAGACUUGGUCCGCAAGGGAUAGUGAAAAUUAAUAGUAACGAAAUAUCAAGAAUCACACUGACGAGAAAAGCUUGUAGAUAUUAACUAGAAAUACCCGUACCGCAAACCGACACAGGUAGAUGAGGAGAGGAUCCUAAGACGAGCGGGAGAAGCAUUGUUAAGGAACUCGGCAAAAUAACCCCGUAACUUCGGGAGAAGGGGAACCUAAGUAAAAUUAGGUCGCAGAGAAAAGGCCCAAGCAACUGUUUAACAAAAACACAGGUUUCUGCAAAAUCGAAAGAUGAAGUAUAGGAGCUGACGCCUGCCCAGUGCUGGAAGGUUAAGGGAAAGAGUUAGACGUAAGUCGAAGCUUAGAACUAAAGCCCCAGUGAACGGCGGCCGUAACUAUAACGGUCCUAAGGUAGCGAAAUUCCUUGUCAGGUAAGUUCUGACCCGCACGAAAGGCGUAAUGAUUUGGGCACUGUCUCGACAAUGUACCCGGCGAAAUUGUAGUACUAGUGAAGAUGCUAGUUACCUGCGACAAGACAGAAAGACCCCAUGGAGCUUUACUGCAGUUUGAUACUGGGUUUCGAUAAGUUAUGUACAGGAUAGGUGGGAGACAAAGAAAGAAAGGCGUCAGCUUUUCCGGAGUCACCGUUGGGAUACCACCCUUAAUUUGUUGGAAUUCUAACUAGUGGUCAUGAUCUGGCCAGAGGACAAUGUCAGACGGGCAGUUUGACUGGGGCGGUCGCCUCCAAAAGAGUAACGGAGGCGCCCAAAGGUUCCCUCAGUGCGGACAGAAAUCGCACGAAAGAGUGUAAAGGCAGAAGGGAGCUUAACUGGAAGAUAGACAUAUCGAGCAGAUACGAAAGUAGGGCUUAGUGAUCCGGUGGAUAUUGAAUGGAAAAGCCAUCGCUCAACGGACAAAAGUUACCCUGGGGAUAACAGGCUUAUCUCCCCCAAGAGUUCACAUCGACGGGG